UGGCAAUGCAGAUGGAAGGUUUAAGAUGAAUGGCAGCACAUCACCCAGCUUGUCAGGACAUUCUAGCCAAGGGAUGGUAGGUGGGCGGAAGUGAAAUGCUAGCGGUGGAAAGCAUAAAAUGGAUAUAUUGUUAUGAAUAUGAUCAAUAUUGGUGUGUUCUUUCAGUUUGGAAUAUAUGUAAAAGGAGUUCUUUAGAGUGGUAAUUGCUCCAUCUGUGGUUUCUAGCAGUUGCUACAGUGCUUGUCUACCAUUCUUCUCGACCCAUGACAAUCGGUUGUUUCUCGUGGUCUUCUGAGCGUCCUUCUUGUGGAGUGUCAAAAAUGGCUUUCAUUUACUUCCAAAAGGGGUGUAUCCAGAUUAAGUCGAGCAAUGCCGCCAUUUAUUCUCCUAGGUGUGUCGUGCUCGACUUGAGUAUUACUGUUUGGAUAUGAUGCCUUGGUUCUCUAAUGCGGAUCAAAUAAUGUAAGUGCCUCUCUAGCGUGGAGAAAAUUAUUAGAUUGGACUGGAUGAUCUAAUUUCACAUAAAAUAUGAUUUCCAUAUGAUUUCCAUGUAAAUUCCGUACAUGGGAUGAUAAUUUAUGUGAAAUUAGAUCAUCCAGUCCAA
rnacentral:misc_RNA from 1 species